rnacentral:rRNA from 1 species
GCGCGAAAACUUUACAAUGCUGGCAACAGCGAUAAGGGAACCUCGAGUGCCAGGUUACAAAUCUGGCUGUCGAGAUGCCUAAAAAGCAUUUCAUAGCAAGGGCCGGGCAAGACCGGUGCCAGCCGCCGCGGUAACACCGGCGGCCCGAGUGGUAACCGUUAUUAUUGGGUCUAAAGGGGCUGUAGCCGGCCGGAUAAGUCUCUUGAGAAAUCUGGCAGCUUAACUGUCAGGCUUUCAGGAGAUACUGUCUGGCUCGAGGCCGGGAGAGGUGUGAGGUAUUUCAGGGGUAGGGGUGAAAUCUUGUAAUCCUUGAAGGACCACCAGUGGCGAAGGCGUCUCACCAGAACGGACCUGACGGCAAGGGACGAAAGCUAGGGGCACGAACC